ACUUACAAAAAUAAAAAAAUCAAUCAUAUAUGGUACAUACAAGUAUUUUGAAAACAUCACAUUUUUUCUUAGAAUUUUUGCAAGAUCAACUGAUUUAAUUUCCGCUUAUUCUCUGUGAAAGUCAAACCACAAUGUCGCGCAAAACCUUCGGCGAAAAGAAAAAAAGCCACAUAUCGCGAGUCACUUAUAACUUCGCGCUGAGCAAAGAAAUCGAAAAUGCAAUGCUUUGGCGCCAAUCGUUAGAACUUAGGGAUAAUGUACGUGGUAGAAUUAUAGAUGUCACACCCAAGCUCAUUGAUACGGAUACGAGAUCAACGCUCCGUUUUCGCAGUAUAGCGACCUAUGCCGAAGAUCUUAUAAAACAAAUGACGAAAAGUUCCAGCGUACAAAGUUUCAAUAGUCGAAGAAUAAGCAUGAGUUCAGUGAAAGCGAAGUCCAGUACACGUCUGGGUCUGAAGCUUUCACUGGAUGAAAUCAUACAAGCAAUUGGGUCGAGCGGUUCGCUUCACGAAAAUCAUCAUUAUUACCAUGAUUAUCAUGAAAUUACUUUUGCCAAGAGAGAACUGUUACCUUUUAUAAAAGUGGUUUUGCGUAAAUCGCCAGAAUUCGUGUUAUACAAUCAAAACAGUUUUACAGCACCGAAAGGCAGUGAAGAAGCCGAAGCUGUCGAAUAUGACAAUCGCAUUUAUGAUUACCUAACAAUAGGUAAGGGCAAAGUACGUCGGCGUUCCGAUGCCGAAACGCAGACAGUUGGUGUGCUGUUGAAACCGCGCACUGUCAGUACAAUUGCUAAGAAGUUCAGUGAAAAAGCGGCCUAUGUAUCAUUUUUCGAAAUGUUCGAUACCUAUCAACAAUUACUCCAAACGACGACCGUACUCGGCGAACGCCACUCACUUAGUCCGGGCGUUUUAGAUUUAAUUGCAAAAAAUCCAAAAUUUUCCUAUGCGGCCAUGGUACUGGAACGUAUAUUGGCUAGCAAUUGUUAUCAUCAGGGACAACGCCGUUAUCGCAACAUGAAUAUACCCACUAAAAUGGACGCAUAUGCUGAUUAUAAAUAUUCGCUGAAUCUCCUCUAUCGCUUGAUACAGCCUAAAUUUCAAGGUGGUUUGGAUAAGCGGCGUAAAGCUAUUGCUGCUCUAAGUUUUUGUCAUGGUAAUGGUGAUCUAAUAGCCGUCGCAUAUGGUUUCUAUUCCGACGCCUCAAAAGUAACCGUACCGAAUGGUAACGUGUGCGUUUGGAGUAUGAAGAAUCCACAAAACCCGGAACGUAUCUACAACUAUCCAGUGCCGGUGUCAACAGUUGAGUUUUCACCAUUUUUACCUUUUCUCAUUGCCAUUGGCCUAUACGAUGGCACAGUGCAAGUGCGGAACAUAACAAAACCAGACUAUCCGCCGGUUGCGAUUUCGCAGCGUAGCGUUCUAUUGAGCUGUGAACCUGUUACAGCUAUUCAAUGGAUCCGUCAAACACAAGAGAACGCUGCCGAAGCAGAUCCAUUUUUAGCACUUACUCGUGAUGGCAAAGUAGCGAAAUUUCGCAUUAUACCGAGCCCGUAUCUGUUGGGUAUGCGUCAGAUGGAGCUACUUCGUAUCGAAGGCACUCCUGAGGGUUUACAAACCAAAAAUAUUAUUAUGAAUGAAGAAAAGUCGCUCAAUUCGGGUCGUAGCGCCAGUGGUUUGCAUCUAGUUAUGCACCCCGUGCAAAGCGAUAUCUAUUACAUACUCACCGACGAAGGUUGCAUACAGAAGUGCUCGUUGAAUCACACACAUAAUUAUUUGGAAAUGUUGAAGGUACAUGAGGGAUCAGUUAACCAUAUGGAUUUCUCGCCUUGGUCACCAAAACUGUUUUUAACCUGUGGUAAUGAUUGGACCAUUCGCAUUUGGCUUGAGGGUAUUUUUCAGCCUCUAAUAACACUUUGCGACCGAUAUAUGCCAGUUCAUUGUGCCAUGUGGAGUCGCACUCAUUCAACGGUUGUAAUUGCUGUCAAUCGCGAAACUAUUGACAUAUGGGACUUACGACGAAAUUUAUUGAGCCCCAUAUCAACCACAAAUAUUGACUCUUCAUUUCAUACAUUAGCAAAACAGCAACAGAACAACGCAAUGAAUCAACUUUUUACCGAUAUUCAACGACCGACCAUGUGACCCGACGCACAGAGAUUGCUUUGCGCUUUAAAACAAUACCGAAUGUUCCAGCGCAAUCAAGCAACGAGAGGAGCGGUAACACCAGCAGCAGGCAAAUCAAAGGCAAAAGCUUUAACCACAAACGACAGGAGGAGAAAAUAACAGUGGAAUUGAUUUGAUACAACUUGGAAAUCGGAAGCUUUACUUUCGCUCAAUUAGAAGAUGCAUCAUGGCUACCGUAGUGUAGGGAAUAGAGGCGUAUGAAAGCGCGCACAUGACCUCAAUUCGUACCAAAUAUACGGCCAAGAUCAAAAAUUUCUAAUAUCGAUCGGCACUUGGCAGGAAAUAGUAUAAAUUCGAUCAUGUAAGCCAUGAAAAGGCUUCAACCAUCUGCAGUUCGGAGCUGACUUAAAAACUUAUCGGAGGCAAAGAUCGACAACAAAUCAACAAGCGAUUAAACGUUAAUUACAAAUAUUUUUAUUUAAAGUAAAAUUAUCGUCCACUUUUAUGGUUAUGUAUAUGUACUUAUAUGCCCAACAACUUCCAUUUGCUCCAAUUCUUCGCUAUGUUAGUAGUAUAAACCUCUUUUGUUCACAUUGUUAGGACUAAGCAUUGCAGCUGGAUUUUUGGUGGUUUGCAAAAAUAUUUUAUUUUGUAGCGUAAAUAAAUUCUUAACCCAAAAACAAAAAUUAAAAAAUCAAAUAAACAAGAAAAAACAUUAA